UACGGGGGAGCAAGCGUUGUUCGGAUUUACUGGCGUAAAGGGCGCGUAGGCGGCCACCGCAAGUCGACUGUGAAAUCUCUGGGCUUAACCCAGAAAGGUCAGCCGAUACUGCGGGGCUAGAGUGCAGAAGGGGCAACUGGAAUUCUCGGUGGUAGCGGUGAAAUGCGUAGAUAUCCAGGAGGAACACCGGUGGCGAAGGCGGGUCUCUGGGCCGAUACUGACGCUGAGGAGCGAAAGCGUGGGGAGCGAACAGG
rnacentral:rRNA from 1 species